UCUCUCUCUCUCUCUCUCUCUCUCUCUCUCUUCCUCUCUAAAAAAGAAAGACCUCUUUUUCCCUCUCCCAUACUCUCCUCUCUCUUCUCACCACUGCGCCACCACCGCCACACCGAUGAUGGCAAGAGACCAAUGACACCACCACCGGAGCAUUGCCUUGUUCUUCAUCUUGUCCAAAAUAAAGACAACCACCGCCCCUUCUUUCUCCCUCACUCUUGUCUCUCUCUCUCCAUCAUACUCCCCCCGGCGAAGACCAAAAAUUGGUGAGACCACCACACCCUCCACUCGUCCUCUCUCCUUCUCUUCACUAAAACCAAAAGACCACCAUAUCUCUCCGCCGGCAAAACCAACAACCACGUCGCUGUCUUCCCUCGUCACUGCUCCACCGGCGAGAUACCCAGCCAGAGCCGCCUCUCUCUGCCCCUUUCCUCUUCUCUUAAACACUGCCAGAUAGCCACCAAGAGGGAGGGCCGCUGCCACAUGCAGCCGGCGAAUCUGCCAACGCCGAUCACCUCUCCUCCCUCUUGUUUACGAGUGAAGCAGUGGAUUCCAACGACGGCGACCUUGGGCGAAACGAAAAACUUUGAGUUGCUGGCCUAUUUUUUACUCGAGCACUGCUCGGGACCCUCGAGGUUCUCAUGAUCUUGACGUGUCAGAGAUAGAGAUUGAUUGUGCUCCAAGCUCUCUUGUUAUCUCUCUUAUUACUGUCCACUUAACUGAUAUAGAUGAUAAAGAUCCUCAACCAGCGCACCGUUGAAGAUCAGUUUCUACCCAACUUUGGUGAGACCUCUUUGCAUUCAAAGGCUCUCUUGAGUCUUUAUUUUUCAGUUAUUAAUUAUUAGCUUGCGAAAGACAUGGGCCUAUCACAGUACCUAUCUCAGAGUCAGUAUUUUAGAGGCUUCAUACAAUAGUAGACAAUGUUUAGUUUAUUUCCCGGACUAUGUUUUCAAAAAUUGAGUUAAAUCUCAUACAUUUUAUAUACUUAAGUUUCAUCAUUUAUGUUAAAGAGUAUUAAGAUGCAUGUUUAAUU